rnacentral:rRNA from 1 species
AGUGAACGCUGGCGGUAGGCCUAACACAUGCAAGUCGAACGGCAGCACAGUAAGAGCUUGCUCUUACGGGUGGCGAGUGGCGGACGGGUGAGGAAUACAUCGGAAUCUACUUUUUCGUGGGGGAUAACGUAGGGAAACUUACGCUAAUACCGCAUACGACCUACGGGUGAAAGCAGGGGAUCUUCGGACCUUGCGCGAUUGAAUGAGCCGAUGUCGGAUUAGCUAGUUGGCGGGGUAAAGGCCCACCAAGGCGACGAUCCGUAGCUGGUCUGAGAGGAUGAUCAGACACACUGGAACUGAGACACGGUCCAGACUCCUACGGGAGGCAGCAGUGGGGAAUAUUGGACAAUGGGCGCAAGCCUGAUCCAGCCAUACCGCGUGGGUGAAGAAGGCCUUCGGGUUGUAAGGCCCUUUUGUUGGGAAAGAAAAGCAGCAGGUUAAUACCCCGCUGUUCUGACGGUACCCAAAGAAUAAGCACCGGCUAACUUCGUG